AGAUGAGGAAGAGAACAUUCCAUUUGGACUGUCAAGAGAAUCUUUACAGAACAGACUCACCAGUGCCCUGACCACUCCAUCCCUGCAGAAUGAUGCCCACCCACAACCUCACAACUUACAAAGAAGUUUCACAGCUCUCUCAUGGGACACAAAACGGGAUUGUGAGGCUGCAGCGUGCUCCUCCCACUCAUGGCUGAAGCUGCCCUUUGUUCCAGGUCUUCUAAGACUGACUGCUCACUGCCCUCUCCUCCUUCAAUAAUAGGACCUGUUAGUUUUAUCUGGGGAUCUAGUCUCUCAGCUAAAGAUUGUUUGUUCCAGUCUCCCUCAUAGAUAGAUGUGGCCAAGUCUCAGAGUCUGGUCAAUGAACACGUGAGUAGAUGUGCUAUGAGCAACCUCUGGGUGGUGCCUUUACCACAAAGGGAAUCUUCCUUUUCUCCUUUCCCUCUUCCACCUGGCUAGGUCCUCGGACCACAGGAUGGAAGGCACAUGUUGAGGAUGGCUGAGUUAGGAGGUGGAAGGAUCCUAGAUUCCCAACACAAUGGAGUCCCCAGUCUGCCCGUGACUGUGCAUGUUCA